UACAGAGGUCCCAAGCGUUGUUCGGAUUCAUUGGGCGUAAAGGGUGCGUAGGUGGCGCCGUAAGUCGGGUGUGAAAUUUCGGAGCUUAACUCCGAAACUGCAUUCGAUACUGCGGUGCUUGAGGACUGGAGAGGAGACUGGAAUUCAUGGUGUGGCAGUGAAAUGCGUAGAGAUCAUGAGGAAGACCAGUGGCGAAGGCGGGUCUCUGGACAGUUCCUGACGCUGAGGCACGAAGGCCAGGGAGCAAACGGG
rnacentral:rRNA from 1 species